rnacentral:rRNA from 1 species
CCCGACUGCUAUUUGGGUGAGAAUAAGCCAUGCAAGUUGAAUGGAAUGCCAAAAUAUUCCAUGGCAAACUGCUCAAUAACACGUGAUCAACUUACCCUAUGGAAAACAAUAACCUCUGGAAACGGAGGAUAAUGGUUUAUAGUUGAAAAGGCUUGGAAAAGUUUUUCAAUAAAAGGGAAUAAUAAAAAUGGUUAUUAUUUUGCCAUAGGAUAGGAUUGCGGUCGAUUAUGGCUGUUGGUGAGGUAAUGGCUCACCAAACCAAUAAUCGAUAGGGGCCGUGAGAGCGGGAGCCCCGAGAUGGGUACUGAGACAACGACCCAGGCCUUACGAGGCGCAGCAGGCGCGAAAACUCCGCAAUACACGAAAGUGUGACGGGGUUACCCAAGGUGCUUAAUAUUUAAGCUGUGGUAAGUGUGUAAUGUACCUUACUAGAAAGGAGAGGGCAAGGCUGGUGCCAGCCGCCGCGGUAAAAUCAGCUCUUCAAGUGGUCGGGAUAUUAUUGGGCUUAAAGUGUCCGUAGCUUGUAUAAUAAGUUCCUGGUAAAAUCUAAUAGCUUAACUAUUAGUAUGCUAGGAAUACUGUUAUACUAGAGGGCGGGAGAGGUUUGAGGUACUUCAGGGGUAGGGGUGAAAUCCUAUAAUCCUUGAAGGACCACCAGUGGCGAAGGCGUCAGACUGGAACGCGCCUGACAGUGAGGGACGAAAGCCAGGGGAGCGAACCGGAUUAGAUACCCGGGUAGUCCUGGCCGUAAACGAUGCACACUAGGUGUUGGUAUGGCUAUGAGCCAUAUCAGUGCCGAAGGGAAACCAUUAAGUGUGCCGCCUGGGAAGUACGGUCGCAAGGCUAAAACUUAAAGGAAUUGGCGGGGGAGCACCACAAGGGGUGAAGCCUGCGGUUCA